CCUACGGGAGGCAGCAGUGGGGAAUUUUGGACAAUGGGCGCAAGCCUGAUCCAGCAAUGCCGCGUGAGUGAAGAAGGCCUUCGGGUUGUAAAGCUCUUUUGUCAGGGAAGAAACGGUGGGGGCUAAUAUCUCCUACUAAUGACGGUACCUGAAGAAUAAGCACCGGCUAACUACGUGCCAGCAGCCGCGGUAAUACGUAGGGUGCAAGCGUUAAUCGGAAUUACUGGGCGUAAAGCGUGCGCAGGCGGUUUUGUAAGUCUGUCGUGAAAGCCCCGGGCUCAACCUGGGAAUUGCGAUGGAGACUGCAAGGCUUGAAUCUGGCAGAGGGGGGUAGAAUUCCACGUGUAGCAGUGAAAUGCGUAGAGAUGUGGAGGAACACCGAUGGCGAAGGCAGCCCCCUGGGUCAAGAUUGACGCUCAUGCACGAAAGCGUGGGGAGCAAACAGGAUUAGAUACCCUGGUAGUCCACGCCCUAAACGAUGUCUACUAGUUGUCGGGUUUUAAUUAACUUGGUAACGCAGCUAACGCGUGAAGUAGACCGCCUGGGGAGUACGGUCGCAAGAUUAAAACUUCAAAUGUUAGUUAGAGNGNGNGNGNGCGAGACGACGACGAGGAGAGG
rnacentral:rRNA from 1 species